rnacentral:rRNA from 1 species
UAUCCGGAUUUAUUGGGCGUAAAGGGCUCGUAGGCGGCUCGUCGCGUCCGGUGUGAAAGUCCAUCGCUUAACGGUGGAUCUGCGCCGGGUACGGGCGGGCUGGAGUGCGGUAGGGGAGACUGGAAUUCCCGGUGUAACGGUGGAAUGUGUAGAUAUCGGGAAGAACACCGAUGGCGAAGGCAGGUCUCUGGGCCGUCACUGACGCUGAGGAGCGAAAGCGUGGGGAGCGAACAGGAUUAGAUACCCUGGUAGUCCACGCCGUAAACGGUGGACGCUGGAUGUGGGGCACGUUCCACGUGUUCCGUGUCGGAGCUAACGCGUUAAGCGUCCCGCCUGGGGAGUACGGCCGCAAGGCUAAAACUCAAAGAAAUUGACGGGGGCCCGCACAAGCGGCGGACAUGCGAUUAAUUCAUGCAACGCGAAGAACCUUACCUGGGCUUGA